UCGUCGACUUCCUGUCUCCGCCCACUAUGGAUCCGCCAAUGAACAAGCAGCUCUCCAACUCCUCAGCCGGCCUCCACUCGCCGCCGGAGAGAGCUUCCCCCAGCAACCACAGACCAUACAGAAGUUCCUCCAACCGCAGGAGCAUCGCUGGAUUCCCUGAUGACACGUCCAGAGCCAAAACACCCACGGGGGAGACUCCGAACACACCGGCCCGCACUUCUUCCUUCAGGGCAAACAGUAAAGGCCCGGCUACCCCAAAACGGGUGAGAUCGAACAGGAGCCGCGCCCAGUCUCCCUGCUCCCCCGGACAGUACCCCCCCUCCCCUCUCAGGCAGAGAGCCGCCACCACCCCCGGCGCGGACGACAACAGGGGUCACGCUGAGGUCAAAGGUCACCCCACCCUGGAGAGGAAAUCGACCAAAUCUGAAAGUUCGGAGAAGAAGAUCCCCAAAUCCACCAGCAGAGAGCUGAACGCAGAGUCUCCGGGCACGCCCACUGGCAGAAGCGUCGGUGGGACAACGGACGCCGAGGAGGCGUCCAGGCUGCUGGCGGAGAGACGGCGUCUGGCCCGGAUACAGAAGGAGCAGGAGGAGAGACAACGGCAGGAGGAGGAGAGGUGAAUACUAUAUGGUCUAUAUGAUAUGAUCACGUGUUCAGAAGAACUCUGAUAUCAAUAUUUACAGGGGGUUUUUAUCAUCUAGCUGAUGUUUAUCAGACUGAAAAUACAAAUUUCCACUGGAAUUAUCAUUUUCAGGUAUUUUCAAAACUUGUGCCUGAAAUAUAAUGUAAUAAAUGUUUUAAUGUGU
rnacentral:lncRNA from 1 species